GUUUUGUCUGUUGCACAGGGUUAUCGUGGCAACACAGCCGGGACUCGUGACGUCUCUUCCGGGGGAAGUAGACAGCCCAGGGGGACGGAGCCGGGCCCGGGACGUGUGAGCAGCGGUGACCAGCAUGGGGGAGACUACAGGGGGGUUCUCACCGACCAGCUGAUUGUCUGCUGUAACAAAGUCUCUGCUGCCGACUCCUCCCUUAUACUACGCCUCACCUCAGACCCGUUUAGGUAGAUGUGUCCCAGAUGUAGAUAUGACCAGGUCCGUGUGCUUUGGACCUCUCUCUCAACGCGUUUCUCCGCCUAAAGACUCAGCGGCUUCCUCAGGAGAAAUAAUGACCUAUUCCAAGCGCUAUUCCAAGCUUCCCACAAAAACGGGCAUUCAACAGAAUCGAAUGCCUUUGUGGCAUCUAAAGACACUAUAGCUGAUAACAACUCAUCCUCAUGGGACGAAGUCGACCUGAUCUCCAUGAAUCAGCGUUGGAAGGAAUAAUUUUAAGCGGUUAGAAAUCAAUUUGGCGAACAGCUUCAGAUCGACGUUCAAUAAUGAAAUGGGUCGGUAGCUGGGACAUAAACUCAUGUCUUUGCCGUCUUUGGGAAGAACUGUGAUAUGUGCUUCUAAUGUAGAUGUCGAAAAAUGUGUUUUGUCAGAAAUGGAAUUGAAAGUGUAAGAAGAGGGGCGAGUUUAUCUUUAAACGAUUUAUAAUACGCUAUGGUAAAUCCAUCGGGGUCUGGACUCUUGCCCGUAGGGGAAGAUUCAAUAGCCUUUACCACUUCCUCAACAAGGAAAGGCUCAUCUAGAAAUUCUGCCUCAUCUUGUGUCAGGGUGGGGUAAUCUAUCGAUUAUAGAUAAAUUGAGAUCAACAUCCUAGAAGAUUCCAAAUUCGAAUUGUCUAUACUACUGGAAAGGUUGUAAAGUUUGGAAUAGUAUGAUUUGAAUGUCAUGGCUAUCGAUGCAGUGUCAUUAUGAGUCUGACUAAGGUCAUCUUUGAUAGAGUGUAUGAAUGUAGUGGCCCUCUGUUCACGAAGAGCUUUUGCCAAAAGUCUCCCGGGUUUGUUGCCCCAUUGGUAAAAACCACUCCGGCAUUUGCUAUAUGAGAGCUUAAGUUGAUCUCGAAGAAGACCUAUUAAGGGAGGCACGUGCUUCUUCAAAUUCAAUACAGUAAGUGGGGGAUCCGGAUUGUUUGUGGGACGUUUUCCAACUAUUUAAUUUUAGCAAGUAGGUCUGCUUUCUUCUGGGUGUUUUGCUUUUUCAAUAAAGAACCCAACUGGAUGCAAGUACCCCUUAGAACACAUUUGUGAGCUUCCCACACUGAUAAUUUAGAAAUAUCGUCAAGAUUAUUAGUUGCAAUAUAUGUAUCAAUAGCCGAGUCUCAUUCGGUUUUACAGUACGGGUCUUGUAGGACAGUGUCAUUAAAACGCCAAAAAGACCGGGGCAUGGUCGGACCAAGUUAUCGAUCCUAUAGAAACAUCAGAUAGGAGAUGUAGGUAAUGGUGAUUCAGGAACAGAUAGUCUAUCCUAGAAUAGGUUUGAUGUGCGUAGGAGAAAAAAGUGUAGUCUAGGUCAGUUGGGUGGGACAGUCUCCAAACAUCCAUUAGUUGGUGAUCUAACAGGGUGCGUCUCAACUGUCUGUGUUCCUUCCCAGGUAUAUGUGAAGAUUUAUUGGAGGUAUCCUUUGUCGGAUCGAGAUGCCAAUUCAGAUCGCCUCCCAUUACCACUAUCUCUUUUAAAAGGGGUUCUGCAGAUACAAGUAUGGAAGAGAUGAAGGAUGGUUGUUUUGUAUUAGGGACAUAAAUAUUUAGAAAGGAAUAAGGCUGGUUGUAGAUCUGACAUGUGACCAAUAAGCCCCUCCCCUCUGCCAACUUGUGAGAAGCAAUAUCCGUAAUAGGGAGAUGUCUAGCUAUCAAGAUCGCCACUCCUAAAGUUUUCCCAUAAGAGUUGUUCAAUGUAAAAAUAUAUGGGUAGUAGUGACAUUUAA